UAGGGAAUCUUCCACAAUGGGCGCAAGCCUGAUGGAGCAACGCCGCGUGUGUGAUGAAGGGUUUCGGCUCGUAAAACACUGUUGUAAGAGAAGAAUGACAUUGAGAGUAACUGUUCAAUGUGUGACGGUAUCUUACCAGAAAGCCACGGCUAACUACGUGCCAG
rnacentral:rRNA from 1 species